AUUGAACGCUGGCGGCAGGCCUAACACAUGCAAGUCGAGCGGAUGAAGGGAGCUUGCUCCUGGAUUCAGCGGCGGACGGGUGAGUAAUGCCUAGGAAUCUGCCUGGUAGUGGGGGAUAACGUCCGGAAACGGGCGCUAAUACCGCAUACGUCCUGAGGGAGAAAGUGGGGGAUCUUCGGACCUCACGCUAUCAGAUGGGCCUAGGUCGGAUUAGCUAGUUGGUGGGGUAAAGGCCUACCGAGGCGACGAUCCGUAACUGGUCUGAGAGGAUGAUCAGUCACACUGGAACUGAGACACGGUCCAGACUCCUACGGGAGGCAGCAGUGGGGAAUAUUGGACAAUGGGCGAAAGCCUGAUCCAGCCAUGCCGCGUGUGUGAAGAAGGUCUUCGGAUUGUAAAGCACUUUAAGUUGGGAGGAAGGGCAGUAAGUUAAUACCUUGCUGUUUUGACGUUACCAACAGAAUAAGCACCGGCUAACUUCGUG
rnacentral:rRNA from 1 species